rnacentral:antisense_RNA from 1 species
CCUUGAAUAAAGGCUUUGCCUUUCAAACUCUGUCCUGCCCAUUUUUCUUUGACAUGUUCAGAUGUUGGCAAGGCUGAAAACUGCAGGGGAUCUGGUUGUGAUAAUCCAGGCCUGAAUAUAUACAAAUAUGAACAAGACCCACAAGGACUGCUCAUCACCCCAGUAUUCCAUUUACAGCAUCCUGAAUGAACUCCCGACCAGGACUAUAAUUCUCUCUUGCAGCCAAAUAUCCUGCUUACUCCUGGUAUCUACCUGGUCAGCAGACCUCAUGAGUUAUCGCCCAGUGACAAAACCAUCCCAAAGAUGCACCAGUCCAGCACAAAGUAUGACUGUCAAUCUCACAAAAGAUGUAGGGUUCUAGGAGGAUACUCAGAGUAUAAGAAUUACGCUAAGUGAAAUAAGCCAAGCCCAGAAAGACACAUACUUUAUUAUUUCAUGUAUCUGUGGAAUCUAAAAGAGUCAAAUUCAUGGCAGCAGGGAGAGGGCUGAAGAAGGGGGAGAUGUUGAUCAAAGUUUCUAUGUAUGCAAAGACCAAACCAUCACAUUAUGCCUCAUAAAUAUAUACAAUUAUUAUUUGCUAAUUACAAGUAAAGCAAUAAAAGAAGAAAAAAAGGAAUCAUAAGUAAAUCCAUGACAAGUGAAAAUGCAAUGGAGAGAAGGGAAUCAAUGAUUGAAGAAGAGAAAGG